AGCACUGUUGAACAUGGUACUUUGGAUGUGCUCCUCCACCGUUGGAGAUGCUUUCUGACAGCAUGGGGUCCUUCUCGGAUGCCUCUUAGUUGAAAUAAGAGGUGUCCCGGUGGCGGCGGCUCAGAAGCCCAGUCACAAAUCAAGGCUUUGUUCUUCAGAGCAAAGUACUGCAAAUCGCAAAGCAAUAUUUGGCAUCUUGUGAAGGGCAUCUGAUAGGAGGAGAAGCGGAUGACAUUCAGGUAUUUCUCUGCAGUCCUGUUAUUCCCGCUUUGUUUUAUUGAGAUGAAGUCCUGUGUUUCUAAAUACAGUAAGGACAACUCUCAGCAGGCCUUCUCCUUUCUCACAGUCCUAAGCCUGCGUUUCUCAUUGACUCUCUGCAAGUUCCCUUGCUUGGUUUUCUCUUCUAACCGGUCCCCACGCAUGUGCACAGUGUCAUGCAGCCAGCUCUCUCGCUUAGCCCUCAGCAGUUGGUCCUCGGGUGGUGGUUUUCGUUAAGUAUUAAGCUGUCAGCUGAUUUCACUAAAUUUAGGUCUUGGACGUGAGAUGUUUUUGAGGGGAUGCAAUUUUCAGAGCACUUUAUUGAAAAGCUAGGUAAAGCACCUCUCAAAAUCAUUCGAAUGUGGCAUUCAUUUUUUUCCUGUGAAUUCUCAGUAGACGUCUUUGCAGUGGAUUUCCAAACUAAAUUAGGCUUUGCGUAGUGCUUUUUCUGUAUUUAACAUUGCCUUUUCAGUAUUGCAGCCAAGGCUUCCUUUUAAAGGCAUGUACAUGAGAUUAUGCAACCAUAGUAUUCAGGA